ACUGAACUAUUGUAUUUCAUUUUAUCAUUUUCGGCUGAAGAUUCUUGUAAAUUCAUAAUUGACUUUUUCUUGUAUUUUUAUCUUUUCCUUAAUUCUGUUUUUUUUUUCAAGAAUACAUUGCCUUCUUUUUUGUAUAUGCAUAAAACAGAAUUUUCUGGAGAAGAAGAGACCAAAGUUAUAACUUAGUCUGACAUAUAUUUGCAAGACAUGGUUUAAAAGUUAAACAUGGUUUAAAAGUUAAACAUGGUUUAAAAAGUUAAACACGUAGUUUAUAUAAUUUAUGACUCA
rnacentral:lncRNA from 1 species